AGCGAACGCUGGCGGCAGGCCUAAUACAUGCAAGUCGAACGGUCUCUUCGGAGGCAGUGGCGGACGGGUGAGUAACGCGUGGGAAUAUGCCCUUUGGUACGGAACAACUGAGGGAAACUUCAGCUAAUACCGUAUGUGCCCUUCGGGGGAAAGAUUUAUCGCCAUUGGAGUAGCCCGCGUCGGAUUAGCUAGUUGGUGAGGUAAAGGCUCACCAAGGCGACGAUCCGUAGCUGGUCUGAGAGGAUGAUCAGCCACACUGGGACUGAGACACGGCCCAGACUCCUACGGGAGGCAGCAGUGGGGAAUAUUGGACAAUGGGCGAAAGCCUGAUCCAGCCAUGCCGCGUGAGUGAUGAAGGCCUUAGGGUGUAAAGCUCUUUCACCCACGACGAUGAUGACGGUAGUGGGAGAAGAAGCCCCGGCUAACUUCGUGCCAGCAGCCGCGGUAAU
rnacentral:rRNA from 1 species